rnacentral:lncRNA from 1 species
CCGGCGGCGCGUACGGAGCGCAUCGGCUAGCGGUGACUGCCUGCUGCCAGGUUGGAGUGGGUGAGGUCCGCCGGUCACGAACGCCGGGAGCGGCUCCAGGACCCCUUUGGAUGGAAGGAUCCCGCCGCUCGUUUCUUACGGAGGCUCCGCGCGGAUUUCGGCGGGUGUCCGUACUGCUCCGCUGGUGAAGACUCUGCGAAAUGACCGAGAAGUGACUCCUGAAAGUGCCCGUACUUGCAAAAAAAAAAAGAAUGUAAAGGGUAUAAAAAUUCAUAAAUAUUCUUGCUUUGACUGUGUGCUUUUGGUUCAUCUUGAAAUGUGAAGGGAUUGAGCUCAGAGGCUCUUACCUGUCCUGAACCGAUCAUUUCCCUCCAUCCCCCCGCAAAAUGCAGCCUGAAAGUGGGAACCCUGAAGGCCAGGAAUACUUGUCUGAGCACCUAACUUGUCCGGUGGAAAAACACCCCCAGUCGUUCUUCUGAAAUGGACACUUGAAACAGCAUGGCUAUGUCUUGGAUAAUAGGAAUCUGAACUUAAUAUCCAAAAUCUGAAGGAAUUCAGUCUGUGCAGAAAUGAUUGUGACAUAUUUCUUAUUGAAGAACGUCCAGCAAGAAUGAAACAUGUAAGAUUGCAGAUUUUAAAAGGAUAGACAUUAUUUGAUACGUUAUUUAUAGGAUACUAAAGGGAAAAGGUAAUGGUUUUGUUAAGAAAAAGACAUUUGUCUGAUCAUUUUCCAUCAAUAGAAUUUUAAUUUCCUCUAAUUCAUUAGAGGGAAAAAAAAAAAAGGCUAUGGGAGUUGGGAUUAUUCAGCCUGGGGAAGAGAAGCAUCCAGGGUGACCUUUCUACAGCCUUUCAGUAGCUCAGGGGGCUCCAAGGGAGCUGGAGACGGACUUUGGACAAGGGGUAAUGGCUUCCCACUGCCAGAGGGCAGGGUUGUUGGAAUACUGAGAAAAGCUUCCAUUGGAGAGUGGCAAGGCCCUGGCACAGGGUGCCCAGAGAAGCUGUUUGCUUCUUCCCUCAAAAGUGUGCAAGGCCAGGUUGGGCAGGGCUUUUGAAGCAACCGGGCCUAGUAGAAGGUGUCCCUUCUACAGGGACACCUGUAGGUGGGUAUAUACACCUGGCAGGAGGUACAACAAGAUAAGUUUUAAGAUCCUUUCCAACCCAAACCAUUCCAUGAUUCUGUGAUUCUAUGGUAUCCAAGACAUAUGGUGAAAAGUUAAAUUUAAAUCUGUUACUCGUGAUUGGUAAAUGGCUAAAAACUGAGUUUCAUAUUUGAGUUGUUUGACCCCCAUCCCCAGUUGUGUAUGAGCCUGAGCUAACCAGUCUGCAACUUUGGCCUGAGAACUUCAUUUCCCAGAACAGCAUUUAGCUCUGUUUACCCUGUUUGGCCUAUUCAGGCCAGCAAGUUGUAUCAUUCCUCCUGACAGGGACUUCUCUGUGUGUUAUUGUGAGGGUAUCAAAAAAUCACUGUGCAUAUGUGUGUAGUGGCUCUUUUAGGCCUUAUGUCUGAAAGCUGUGCACAGCAGGACAUUGAACUGUAUGAAGGAAUUAGGAAAAAUACUGUUGAGAACUGUGUUUUGGUGUAUUAGGUUUAUGACAAUCAAUGAGUCUAUUACAGAUUGUAGCAUCAUCUGCUGUGCUCAGCUUUUGUCACAUUGUAGUCAAUGUCAGCAGCAGAUGUUCAAAAGCAAUAUAAAUCCCAUCAGUGUAAGGACAAGGUAAUUACCUAAAUACAUGUUCCUGAGGAACAUGAGCCUGAGCUUAUGCAUCAUAUCAACCUUGUCCUCUUAGGUAAUCAGAGUGUCUCUGUGCCUACCAGGAACUUUGUCUUGUCAUCUUACCUUCAGGGAGGAACCAGUGUUUCUUUUCUGGUGUUGGAGAGGUUGACAACAUUAUCUGAGUACUGCAGUGCUGCGGACAGAGCAGCUGAACACCUUCCUGUUGCUCCUAUGGGAUCUGACCUGUUUUGCGGAUGGGCUGGUUGGAUGCCAGUCCUUUCCACCUGGCCCUUGGUAGAAGACCAGUACGAUGCAGUUCUAUUUCAUUUGGCCAUCCCAGGCAGGAAACUGUUCAUUACCAUCUCACCAUUUGGUGGUGAUCAAUUUGACAAACGUGAAGCGAGAAUUUAAUUCUUACACUUUCCCUAGCUGUUCUGCAGUAGGUUUCAGACAUGUUCUUGACUUCCAUUCUUUGGUCUCUCUUGGCCAAGUCUUGAAAGAUUUAUACCUUCAUUGGCUGGCUAUCUGAGCUGCCAGACAUUGGCCCAAGGUGUAAUGAAAUGAAUUCACCUUUUGUAAAGCAGCAUUUAGAUUACAUCACAACUCUGCCUUGGCCACGGCAGAGCCAUGCUUUGAUAGGAACCUCUCUGUCCAUGCAUGGAGACAGAACAGGCUUAUUUGGGCUGUGUCCCACUGCUACAAACUGCUGAAUUUCUCAGUACGUUUAGAGAUUAAAGUCUUCCCACUGGAAUUUCACCUUUAUCCUCCUUUGGAGCAGCUGUUUUUCCUUGGAAACUCUCUUCCUAAACUUUGUUUAAAUAGUUCUAGAUCUUUCAGUUAUACUGGUUAUGACAGACAACCUCCCUUUUUGGUUUUUUUUUCUUCUCCUACCAGCAAUAUUUCCCUGAGUUUCUGUUCAGUCCCAGAAUCUCUGCAUCUUACAAUGAGUGAAACAAGUCUGACUGCUCAGGUAUCACAGGCAGUACCCCCUCAUUUUUGAAGUCUCCAGUGCAUUAGAAGGCAGCAGUUUGCUCUGGUGCACAUAACUUUCCUCAUAAAUUACCUGUGAGUUGGUGGUUUGUCCAGUAGAGCUUGGGGAAACUGUACUGCUCUUCUUUAACCCUAAGGCUGAGUUUCUUACUCUGAAAUAAUCCCCAAGGCCCCUUGUAAAAGUAGUCUUUUGGUUCCACACUGUUCAAAAUCUGUGUUUCUAGGCUGUGGUGUGUCUUCCCAUGCUGUCCCAUGUGGUGUUUGCUGGGUUAUUUUGCAUGUGCUUACUCUGGCAUAGCAUUUUGUUAAGCCUCUUUCCAUUGGAGUCCAGGCCAUAGCCUGAGGUCAUUGAAGAUUUUUUUUUAUGUGGCCAUUGUUCUGCAAGUUGAAGGUAACUGCUUCUACCUGUGUGGGCCUUGAGUCAACAAUUGUUCUUUUUCUCCCUAUUUUUUAAGAAGCUAGCCUGCUAAGCCAGUACUUAAUGCAAGAGUCAUCAAAGUGGUAAGUACUAGAUUCUGCGCCAAACAAGUGCCAUGAGUGCAGCAAAGUGUCUUUUUCAAAUGCCUGUGAGGUCUCCCAGGUUAACUGUUUGUAGUUUUAUUGUGUUUAUGUGCAUGAAGAAAUGUAAAACUUUGCAUUGUAGAAAUGAGGUUUUCAGUAUCAGAGUGAAAUAAGCAGGUAGUGAAAAAUAAAUCUGAGACAUUACCAGUAAUCCCCAGGUGUUUACUGGUCCUGCACUUAUGCUUUGUUUUUCUGGAAGGAAAAAAAUGGUAUUGCCUUUGGAUGCAUGGUCCUCUGUCUACCUCAUGAAGGAAGCUGCUGAAGUUCUAGGUCAGUGCUGUUCUACUGAGCAUUCACCUUGAUACUUCUAAGAAGAUUGGGUGCAGUUACAAGCCCCAGUAACCAGAUUGGUAUGGAUCUCUUUUCCAUUGCCCUGAGUUUGUACAAAGAAUUUUAAAACAGCUUCCUUUUAUGGGUUUGAAGUCAUGUUUCCUCAUAGCUUUUUGGUUCAUUUUCAUGUCAUGCUAUAUGGUGCCUCUGCUGUACGAUGAGUUCUCAUUGUCUCCCAGUACAGAAUGGGAGCUUCUGCCAUGAGUACAGAAUGCUGCUGCCUCCAAUGUGGGGUGUUCUCCUUUAGACAGAGCAUGCCAGUCUCACCCACAGAAAAGAGCUAUGUCAAAAAGCAUCAGAAGCAAUUCCUUUUCUUGGGCAUGAGUUGUAUCUCCAUGUCGAUUCAAUAUAAUCCAAGAACAGAACCCUGAAGUCAAGCAUUUAGAAGGAAGUGUUUUCCUCCUGGUUUCUCCUAGUAAGGAGUUAUUCCCUCUAUGACGUGGGGCAGCCCUGUUUCUUGUGUUCAUAGGCAUGUCUGCCCAGCUUCUGCAUCAUUCGGAUCAAGUAGCAGAGCAAUUUGCUGACUAAAUGCAAGUAUCAUGAAGUCGGACCUCUCUUCAUAGAAGUGUCUUUUUCUCCUAUGUUGGGAAGCCUAAAUCCUGCAGUUCUUCUCUGGAACAGUAGUUUUAUGAACAUCCUGUGUAUCAGUCCUUACAAGACAUGAAGAGCAAGAUGUUCAAAGAUGAGUGCCUACACAUCCAACUCAGAGUGUCUGUUCAACCCAGGCUGAUGGAUGUGUUCCUGACAUGGGUAGUUCAGGUAAUUUCAGUCUGGUAACUUCAAAGCAACCAAAAACAUACUCUUAUAAUGAAAAGCUUAUGGAAAUCUCUUGGGUGUCUCAUGGUAGCAGUAUGCAAGUAGAUUGAGCUGUGGUACCAAUGAAGAGACGAACAGAUACAUCACCACAUCUGCUACAGAACAUGCAUGGGAAUGCUAUGGAGAGAGCAGGACUUUGCCAGUCAUUCCCAUCAAAGGAUCUCUCAGUGGUGACUAGAUAACUGCUCCUCUAGCAUGUGGCUGGGAAUGCCACCAUGGAUCAAAUGUCUUUUGUCAUCUCUGAAAACAUUCAUCUUCCCUAGCUUUAGCUCUAGACAAGUGCAAGGUGCAUGAGAACCCUGGGCUGCCCUUUUGCCUUAUAGGAAUCUGACAUCAACAUGAAGGGCUGACUGCCUUGGUGGGAGAGAAUGAGGGGAACUUCACAGAUGUCUAAUAUAUUCCCUGGAAUGUUAUCGUUUGUGGGAAGCUGGUCACUCUGGCAGUCAACAGAUGGUGUGAGGAGCAGAAGUACUGUAGGAAAAAGCUGUCAGUCCUCUGUCAGUACACAGCCCUGGAGACUGUCCCUAGCCUGAGCUAGGACUAUCAGGAAGCUGGGAAGUUCUUGGGAGGCCAAAAAAGAAGAAUGUGAGGCAGUGUCAUUUUUUCAGAAACUUCACCCUGAAGUUAUUUAUUUUCACUCAGGUCUUCCAUCCAAACCUAGUUAUUUUCUUUAAGAGAAACAAACUCAGGAAAUGUUUUAUCAGCACAGUUGGAUCACCUCAUAAUGGUUUGACCAGUCCUCAUCAAUCCUAUAAUCCCAUCAAUUUGGAGGAUAUGUGAUAUAAUCUUGCUUGUUCAGUACAUUCUAAGCCCUGCUUCUUUGUCCUGCAUUGGUGAUCUGUAUAAUACAUAAUCUGCAUAAUAUUUU